rnacentral:lncRNA from 1 species
UAUAACUGUUAGGAUUUGAAAAUUUUAUCAAAAUUCAACAGUUUAUCGCCGUUUAUUCACGUUAAGCACAAACACUUUGCAAAUAGAUUUUAAACUUUAUUUGAUUUUUGUUGGGUCUGCAUGUUGUAACUUGCACGAUUUUUCAUUGGCAUCUCCUCUUUACCGUCUUCACACACAAGCAGAUUCGUCCCCUAGCGUCUCCAAAUGAGUAUUCAAUUCGACCAUCUAUUUCUCCCCC